rnacentral:rRNA from 1 species
GCUCCUACGGGGCGCAGCAGUGAGGAAUAUUGGUCAAUGGGCGGGAGCCUGAACCAGCCAAGUCGCGUGAGGGAAGACGGUCCUAUGGAUUGUAAACCUCUUUAGGCGGGGAGCAAUGUCGGGCACGCGUGCCCGGAGGGAGAGUACCCGCAGAAUAAGCAUCGGCUAACUCCGUGCCAGCAGCCGCGGUAAUACGGAGGAUGCGAGCGUUAUCCGGAUUUAUUGGGUUUAAAGGGUGCGUAGGCGGAUUUUUAAGUCAGCGGUAAAAUGUCCGGGCUCAACCCCGGCCCGCCGUUGAAACUGGG